AGUAGAAUUGUUGGGUCAUAUGGUAAUUCUAUGUUUAACUUUUUGAGGAACUGCCAAACUGUUUUCCAAAGUGACCAGAUCAUUUUAUACUCCCACCAGCAAU
rnacentral:pre_miRNA from 1 species